rnacentral:rRNA from 1 species
UACGUAGGGGGCAAGCGUUGUCCGGAUUUACUGGGCGUAAAGCGCGUGUAGGCGGAAGCGUAAGUCCGGUGUGAAAGCCCCCCGCUCAACGGGGGAAGGUCGCUGGAAACUGCGCUUCUUGAGGGCGGCAGAGGGAAGUGGAAUUGCUGGCGUAGCGGUGAAAUGCGUAGAGAUCAGCAGGAACACCCGUGGCGAAGGCGGCUUCCUGGGCCGCGACUGACGCUGAGACGCGAAAGCGUGGGGAGCAAACAGG